CAUGAUUGGAAUCAAUAAGCUACAGGUGAGAACACAUUUCCGUGUGUUUGGAUGUGGACCUAAGAGAUUAUUUAUUUCAUUAACUUCAGAAAAGGAACAAUGCCUUAAGUAAGCAGAAAAGCCUGUUCAGUAUCUUUGACCACAAGUCUGAAUCCCAGACAUUACCAUAGGAGGUUACUAAUUGGUCAUAGUUGAUUACAUCACAAUAGGUGUGGCCCUAUAAAGGCCAGACCAGCUUCAGCCUUAGGCUAAUUUCUCCUAAGGGUGUGUAGUGGUUUGGAGGGUUUUUAAAAUUGUUGUUGUUAUGUUUUUAUUUUAUUUUACUUUAUUUUUAAAUAGAGAUGAGGUCUUGCUAUGUUGUCCAGGCUGGUCUCAAACUCCUGGGCUCAAGCAAUUUGCCUGUCUUGGCCUCCCAAAGUGCUGGGAUUGCAGAUGUGAGCCAUUGCUAUAUGUUGGCCCUUGGUAUAUUUUAAAUAGUUAAAAAUACUGUUUUUUUUUUUUUCUUGCUGAAUACUUACUUAGGGAAAUUGGUUUGUGUCUGUGGCAAAGGAAUUCAACAAUGUUUUCUUUCAUUCUCAGUUCACACGAUUUUGAGAAAAUAGAAGACUAUCAUUUACAGCUGGUGUGGCCCUGUGGCGGUGUGGACCCAGAUUUCAAGCACAGAGGAAGAUCAGACACUGAUGUCCUGCAUCUGAUAUGUAUAUAACACAAUUCUCAAUUGUCCUUUGAUUGUGUUUUACUCCCUUCUGUACAAUAGACUCAUUUUUAAAGCAAAAGUUGAAGAAAGUGAACAAAAACAGCAGUGGAAAGUUCAUAAAAGACAAAUGAAGAAUUCAGAGCCCAAUCCUAACCUCAAGCCAAGAAGUAAGAAAAGGAAGAAAAAAUCAAGAAACUCAGAACAGAACCCCAGCAACAUUGAACCAAGGAGCAUGGACGCUCAGGCUGUUCAUAGAUUUCAGGAUCAUUUCCACUACUUCCACAGGCAGAUAGAGGGCCAUCCCCACCACCGUCUCUACCACCACCGUCUCUUCCCAGAGGAGUUUUUACUCUUCCUCCAACUCCUUUACCUGAGCUAAGUGGUAAACCAUCAUCAUCACCAUCACCUUUGGAGACCUCCUCUACCACCACCUUUGUUGAGAGGCCUACUCUCCAGGAUCCCCACCUGCUCUGUCUUAUGGAGUGAAACAGAAAUAAAUGUGUAAGACUCAAUUACAUAUGUUGAUUCUUGAACUACAUGAGAAUUCUCCUUGAAGAGAAUCAACUCAUCAAGGCAAAACUUUAAAUAGUUUUUGAUGACUUUGGUCCACUGGUGAUCAUUAAUGAGUGAAAAGUGAUUAGGUGGCUGGGCAUGGUGGCUCACACCUAUAAUCUCAGCACUUUGGGAGGCCACAGUGGGUGGAUCACUUGAGGCCAGGAUUUUGAGACCGGCCUGGGCAACAUGGUAAAACACCAUCUCUACUAAAAAAUACACAAAUUAACCAGGCAUGGUGGAAGGUGCCUGUAAUCCCAGCUACUCGGGAGGCUGAGGCAGGAGAAUCACUUGAACCCAGGAGGCGGAGGUUGCAGUGAACCAAGAUCAUGCCACUGCACUCCAGCCUGGGCAACAGAGCAAGAUUCUAUCUCAGAAAAAAAAAAAAGCAUAAAAGAAAGCUGAUUAGCCAUGUAUAAGUAUUGUAUAAUGUUAGAGAAUAUGACUGCUCAUUUUUUAUUUCCUUUGUGAGCUCACCAUGUUAUCAAUACAAUAUCUCAAUAAAUAGAAAGUCUAUAGAGAAUAUUAAAUUCAUGUAGAAGGCAAAGAUAAAUUAUUAAAGUGGUGUAAUGAUAAUUGUAUUAGUUUUUCAGGGCUUUCAUACAAAAUUCCUAUAAACUAGGUGGCUCCAAGCAACAAAAAUUUAUCUCUCACAGUUUUGGAGUCCAGAAGUUCAAAGUCAAAGUGUUGGCAGGGCGACACUUUCUUUGGACGUCCUAGCAGAGUAAUUGUUCCUUGUCUCUUCCAGCUUCUGGAUAGUUGUUGGCAUUAAUUGGUUUGUGGCCACCUCUCUCUCUACUCCGUGUUCUCAUAGCCUUCCCCUCUGUAUGUCUGUAAA
ensembl:lncRNA